GAUGAACGCUGGCGGCGUGCCUAAUACAUGCAAGUCGAGCGAACAGAUGCGGAGCUUGCUCCUCUGACGUUAGCGGCGGACGGGUGAGUAACACGUGGAUAACCUACUUAUAUUUCUGGGAUAACUUCGGGACACCGGAUCUAAUACCAUAUAAUAUAUUGAUCCUCAUGGUUCAAUAGUGAAAGACGGCUUUGCUGUCUCUUCUAGCUGGAUCCACGCUGCAUUAGCUAGUUGUUACGGUAACGGCUUACCAAGGCAACGAUGCGUAGCCGACCUGAGAGGGUGAUCGGCCACACUGGAACUGAGACACGGACAAUACGCCUACGGGAGGCAGCAGUAGGGAAUGUGCCGCAAUAGGCGAAAGCCUGACGGAGCAACGCCGCGUGAGUGAUGAAGGUCUUCGGAUCGUAAAACUCUGUUAUUAGUGAAGAACAAAUGUGUAAGUAACUAUGGACGUCUUGACGGUACCUAGUCAGAAAGCCACGGCUAACUACGUG
rnacentral:rRNA from 1 species